GUUUAAGUAGCUUAAAAUUAAAGCAUAAUAUUGAAGCUAUUAAGAGUAGGAAUUAUUCCUCUUAAACA
rnacentral:tRNA from 1 species